UGGUUCUGGCAUCGAUGAAGAACGCAGCGAAAUGCGAUAAGUAAUGUGAAUUGCAGAAUUCAGUGAAUCAUCGAAUCUUUGAACGCACAUUGCGCCCUGUGGAAUUCCGCAGGGCAUGCCUGUUCGAGCGUCAGUACAACACUCAAGCCUAGCUUGGUCUUGGGCCUCGCCGGAGACGGCGGGCCUUAAAAGCAGUGGCGGCGCCCGUGGGGCCCUAAGCGUAGUAAUACUCCUCGCUAUAGGGACUCGGCGGACGCUGGCCAGCAACCCCCAGCUUUCUACGUUUGACCUCGGAUCAGGUAGGGAUACCCGCUGA
rnacentral:misc_RNA from 1 species